rnacentral:rRNA from 1 species
GGCCAGACUCCUACGGGAGGCAGCAGUGAGGAAUAUUGGUCAAUGGGCGAGAGCCUGAACCAGCCAAGUCGCGUGAGGGAAGACGGUCCUAUGGAUUGUAAACCUCUUUUGUCGGGGAGCAAAAAGGCCUCGUGAGGCCACAAGUGAGAGUACCCGAAGAAAAAGCAUCGGCUAACUCCGUGCCAGCAGCCGCGGUAAUACGGAGGAUGCGAGCGUUAUCCGGAUUUAUUGGGUUUAAAGGGUGCGUAGGUGGUUAAUUAAGUCAGCGGUGAAAGUUUGUGGCUCAACCAUAAAAUUGCCGUUGAAACUGGUUGACUUGAGUAUAUUUGAGGUAGGCGGAAUGCGUGGUGUAGCGGUGAAAUGCAUAGAUAUCACGCAGAACUCCGAUUGCGAAGGCAGCAUACCGGCGCCCAACUGACGCUGAAGCACGAAAGCGUGGGUAUCGAACAGGAUUAGAUACCCUAGUACA